rnacentral:rRNA from 1 species
UGGGGAAUUUUGGACAAUGGGCGAAAGCCUGAUCCAGCAAUGCCGCGUGUGUGAAGAAGGCCUUCGGGUUGUAAAGCACUUUUGUCCGGAAAGAAAUCCUUGGCUCUAAUACAGUCGGGGGAUGACGGUACCGGAAGAAUAAGCACCGGCUAACUACGUGCCAGCAGCCGCGGUAAUACGUAGGGUGCAAGCGUUAAUCGGAAUUACUGGGCGUAAAGCGUGCGCAGGCGGUUUGCUAAGACCGAUGUGAAAUCCCCGGGCUCAACCUGGGAACUGCAUUGGUGACUGGGCAGGCUAGAGUAUGGCAGAGGGGGGUAGAAUUCCACGUGUAGCAGUGAAAUGCGUAGAGAUGUGGAGGAAUACCGAUGGCGAAGGCAGCCCCCUGGGCCAAUACUGACGCUCAUGCACGAAAGCGUGGGGGAGCAAACAGGAUUCAGAUACCCUGGUAGUCCACGCCCUAAAACGAUGUCAACUAGUUGUUGGGGACUUCAUUUCCUUAGUAACGUAGCUAACGCGUGAAGUUGACCGCCUGGGGAGUACGGUCG